rnacentral:rRNA from 1 species
UAAACCACUAGACAUAGUCAUANNNUUGACGGUAUAAGGCAGUUAGGUAUGAGUUAAAAUGUUGUUAUAAAAUUUCUUUAUGAGGGUGUGAAAUAUGCCAUAAAGAGGGAUUCUUAAGGUGUCAUAUAUUAUUGAGGCUGCGAAAAUUUUAGGAGAGACUGGGAUUAGAUACCCCAUUAUUUUCAAUCGUAAAUUGGUUAGACUCUCAUCUACCAGGGUACUACAAACCAUACGUUUAAAAUCUAAAGAACUUGGCGGUGUUUCANACAUAUUAGGGGAACUUGUCUCAUAAUCGAUGAUCCACGUUGUACCUGACCUAAGCUGGCUCUCAGUUUGUAUAUCGUUGUCACAAGUAAGCCUACGUUCGAGAGGCCUAGGCUAGCGAACUCUGAAGGUUUCAAAGCAGAUCAAGAUGCAACUUACGCUUAGGGGAGGAUGAGUUACAAUUGUUAUNANGCAGUGUUGAGAUAGUGAAAUGAAAUUUUUCUUUGGAGGUGAACUUAAAAGUAAAUUAG